UCCGGUGUAGCUCAGGGGUAGAGCGGGUGGCUGUUAACCACUAGGUCGUAGGUUCGAUCCCUACCGCCGGAGCCA
rnacentral:tRNA from 1 species